GGCAAUUACCUGUGAAGCACGGUUGUUGGUGCCAGAAAGGUCAGUCUGAGUAUUUCAGAAAUUGCUGAUUUGCUGGGAUUUUCCUGCAGAAUCACCUUAAGAGUUUACAGAACAUUGUCCAAACAAGAUAAAAUAUCCAAUGAGCACCAGGUCUCUGGGCUAACAUGUCUUGUUUUGAGGAGAAUAACCAGGCUGAUAGGAACACAUCACACCCUGAAGGAAAUGGGCUACAAUGGUGCUACUCACAGCCGCUAAGAACAGGAAAACGAGGCUACACCGCCGACUCGCCAAAACUGGAAAACUGUAGCUUGGUCUGACGAGUUUCCAUUUCUGCUGUGACAUUUAGACGUUAGGGUCAGAAUUUGGCAUAGACGGCACAAAAGUAUGGAUCCAUCUCGCCUUGCAGAAGCAGUUCUGGCUGUUGGUGAUGGUCUGAUGGUGUAAGGGGGGGCUUUUUAUGGCACAUUUCAGGCUCUUUAGCAGAUACAGAGCAACGUCUACGUAGGUCACAGCCUACCUGAGAAUUUUUACUGACCAUGUCCACCCUACAGACUAAUGGGUAGCCAUCUUCAGAAGGAUAAUAUGCUAUAUGUCACAAAGCUCAGAUCCUCUCAAACUGGUUUUUCUGAACAAGAAAAAGAGUUCACUUCACUCAAAUGACUUUCACAAAUAGAGGACCUUUGUGAUGUGGUGAAAUGGGAGACUUGCAUGAUGGAGUUGCAAAUGAAAAAUCUGCAGCAAGUGUGUGAGGCGAUCAUGUCAGUGUGAACCAAAAUCUCUGAGGAAUCUCUGUUGAAUUUAUGCUACAAAGAAUUAAGGAAGUACUUAAGGUAAGAGGGGGCCUAACCCCGUACUAGAUGUAACUAAUGAAGUGGCCAGUGAGUGUAUAUGGUCAUGUGGAUAUGCUUAAUGGGACUCUGCACCCAAAUUUGGGUAUAGGUCAAGACAAGUGAGCAGCUGAUGGUGAAGAAGAGGAAAAAAGAAGAGUAAAAAGUUGAAAACUACACCCACAAGAGCUCUUAGAGCCUAAUCACAGCUUCGGUUUUUCCGGCUAGCCUCUGUGUCGCUGCCUAAACCUCACCCUGCCGAAUACUCCGAGCCCCGCUUUGACUCAUUUCUUUGCUCAGGAGACAGCAAACAUCAUUAAUGAGGAAGAGUCAUUAACAAUGUAAUUAAGGAGAGUGGGUCUUCUGUACAAAAGAAGUCUGCAGAACAGACUGGGAAAAUGAAGACAAAACACCAGUUUGAGGUCGUUUGUGUCUCGCAGGCAUGCACACACAAACUCACAAACAUGCUUCCCACAUGUUACUGUUUGUCAUGCUAGUCUCAUGUUGGUCCAUCUGGCAGAGACGCCGUUUGUAGCUCACUCGACAGCUGAUGAAAGACAACAAACAACUGAACUUGGUCCUGAUUAAGGCUCUGAGUGCCCGCAGGGAAAAGGCGUGAUUAUGCUAUUGAUUGAGAAUACUAAGUGUGGACGUGGACACGAGAGGAUGAGGGAGAUAACAUGAAGAAAAUUCCCAGAGAUGGAUGAUGACGUAACCGGGCAGAGGAAUGAUAAAUCUGAAGAGGUGUGAGAAACGAAGCCACCCUGAUGGAAGUGACAGGAGAGGGGAGAGGGAUGGAGAAACAGAGAGGGGUCUGAUUGCACUGUGCUGUGGCUGUGCGGUAUGUGAGCCUCACAGUAAUUGUACUGUGUAUUGAGCAAGUGCUGUCAGGCCACCUAUUAACUCCUCUAAGCGGCCAGAGUGGACAAGUGGAACGCUACUACAGGAAGCAGGGCUGAGUGACAUUUACAAAGAGAGACAGAGAGAGAAGGAUGAAAGGAGAGGGAAUGAAAAGGACAACGAGUCAGUUUGUGCUAUUUUCUAAUUUCACGUCCCAAAUAUUUACAAAGACGCCUGGUGCAUCUUUAAAUGUCACUCUGUGAAACAGAAUCUCAGCAUUUCAUUUCUGAAUUCCUUUGCAACUGCUAAAAUCAAUUACAUUCUGCGUGUUAACGUACUGUAACGUCGUCUCGAAGCCGGUGGCAGACAGUUUUAUCUGCGACAACUGAAUGACGAUGUUUAAGGCAGAGAAAUAAACCCCACAGUGAGAACUGAAGCUGACUCUGGGCCCUGUAUUAACCAAAACAUGUGCAUUCCCACCAGUCUGGGUUUCAAUUUACGCAGGUGUUAAAUGCCCAAAGCAAAUAUGUGGCAAGGUGAAUUUUAAUGUCAGGACACUGGACACUUGCCGCUACCACAAAAACAGCAAAAACAGUGAAAACAGCGUCAAUCAAGUUAUUUCAGUUCAUUUAGUUAAAGACUCCAAACACACAUAACAGCAAACAUUUUGUUCAUCAAACUGUAAGUGAGUACACCCAUUAUUAAUGUCCCUGUUACACGGGAAAGUCACGUGCGUGUUAUGGAACGUGCCUAAAAUAGUGUUUAAUAUUGUAUUUGCAGCAGCUGAUGGUAGUGAAGGAAUGAAGAACAUAACCAUGAGUUACUCCAUAUAUAUGUGGGCAACCAUUAACAUGAAACUAUGUAAAUAAGGACUAUUUGCAAUACUGUGUCAUAAAACUUCAGUCUAAACCAGGAUGUGCAAUUUUCAGUUUAGAAGCCAAAAACCAACAGGCUGCACUUCCAUCACUGAUAAAUUCUCUUAAUACAAAACCUGAACUGAGACAGGCAGUUGUGCCCUGCAACAAUGCUAUUUUUUCAAUUACAUGAAAUGAAAACAUCCCAUCUUCUGAAUCUGAUGGUUUAAAGAUAAUAAGUAAUCAGACUCAUUCAUUGUUUCAGUUACCUCACGCCCUUCUUCUAAAUGCUGGUAAAGCUGGUGUAUAACAGUGAAGAUAAUAGUAGCGUCAUUGGCAAAGUGCCACGUGAUGUCUAACAGAAACUGAGUUACACUGAAUAGUUGCCUUAACACUUAUUUCUCCACUAACUGUCCUUGAUUUAGACAGAGCUUCCUGUAGAUUUUUCCACAAUGCAGAGCCAAAAUCUUGCCCUCGGCAUCUCAGUAGAAAAACAGCACAUUUCCACUGCUGCUGCCGCAAAGAUAAAUAAGCAGCUGAUCCAACCCACAACAAGCUUCAAGCUUUGAGUUGGGAAUCACACUUUGUAUGUGAGACCUGAAA